rnacentral:rRNA from 1 species
UACGGAGGGGGCUAGCGUUAUUCGGAAUUAUUGGGCGUAAAGGGCGCGUAGGCGGCCCGGUAAGUCAAAGGUGAAAUCCCCCGGCUUAACCUGGGAACUGCGUCUGAUACUGGAAGGCUUGAGUAUGGGAGAGGGAUGUAGAAUUCCAGGUGUAGCGGUGAAAUGCGUAGAUAUCUGGAGGAAUACCGGUGGCGAAGGCGGCAUCCUGGACCAUUACUGACGCUGAGGCGCGAAAGCUAGGGGAGCAAACGGG